rnacentral:lncRNA from 1 species
UGAAAAAAUCCCUCUUCCACCUCUCAGGUGGUGAUGAAGUGAGAUUUACACCUGGCCCAAUUUCCCCUUAGCCUGCAGCAGCUCCUGGUAGUGCUGCCUGCUCCUCACUUAACCCUUGAGGUGUCAGCUCCUUCCCAGGCCUGCAUGGUGCCUUGGAGCCAGCAUUGCCAUGUGCAGCCUGGCUGCUGACUGCUUCACCUCCCUAGCAUGCACCCUGCUGCCUUUCAUGCUUUGAAAUAAUCUCCUUGUGCUUAGACAUGGUUAAACAUAGCAGACUUCGAAACUAUUUGAAAGAGGCUCAUCCCUGCCUACUGUAGCCGCUCUUGGGAGGCAGCCCUGUUACAAACGUCCCAACCACCGUGUCUCUACCUGGGGAACUUGGCUUUCAGCCUCUGGUCACAAGACUGCAUCUCUCUUAGUGCUAAUUAAUACAGCCAAA